GACAAACGCUGGCGGCGUGCUUAACACAUGCAAGUCGAGCGGUAAGGCCCUUUCGGGGGUACACGAGCGGCGAACGGGUGAGUAACACGUGGGUGACCUGCCCUCAGCUCUGGGAUAAGCCUGGGAAACCGGGUCUAAUACUGGAUAUGACUCCAUGACGCAUGUUGUGGGGUGGAAAGCCUUGUGCGGCUGAGGAUGGGCCCGCGGCCUAUCAGCUUGUUGGUGGGGUGANGGCCUACCAAGGCGACGACGGGUAGCCGGCCUGAGAGGGCGACCGGCCACACUGGGACUGAGACACGGCCCAGACUCCUACGGGAGGCAGCAGUGGGGAAUCUUGCGCAAUGGGCGAAAGCCUGACGCAGCGACGCCGCGUGAGGGAUGACGGCCU
rnacentral:rRNA from 1 species